CCUUAACAAAAGUUUUUCUUGGAAAGGAUCUGUUUUCAUGCCACCUCAAGUACACAAUCAAGGGCAAUCACUUGUAAUGCCAUUGUCAUCUAAUCAGGGCCAAACUCGACAACAACUACUAUCUCAGAAUGUUCAGAAUUCUGCUGCAGUUAUAUCAACCACAGAGACCUCUUCUAGAGACAUCAUCAACAUCUGUUGAUUCAGCUGCAACUGGACAUGCGAGUGGAGUUGAUUGGCAAGAAGAGCUUUACCAGAAGAUCAAAACAAUGAAGGAACUGUACUUACCUGAACUUCAUGAAUUGUAUCAGAAAAUUGCUGGCAAAUUACAGCAGAGUUUAUUGGUACUGAUGGCACUCAAGGAAACACUUCGAUAUCUGUUUUUGGCAAGUCAAGCAUUACAGAACAGCCACUCUUAAUGAAAGCGGUAAAAUCUAUGUCACCUAACAUUGAGUGCUUCUGUCAGGGACAUUGGCUUUGUUGUCAGCAUGGUUGAUAGGUUUGCAGGAUCAGCUCCCACGACGGAACUAACGGGACAAGGAAAAUGAAGCGCUACACUAGUGCCGUGCCCUUAAAUGUCGUAUCAUCAACAAGUAAUGGUUCGAAAUAUCAGAACUAGAGUCAACUGCAAAAUCUGGUAUCAAGAGGUGUAAGUUAGAGGCAAUUCAUGCUCUUAAAGAUGAAAUUAGGGAAUAAAUCAGCGUCUUAUUGACACUGUUAUUGAUAUUAGUGAGGAAUCAAGUGUUGUAGCAGCUGCUGCUGAAGGAGAUGAAGGGACCAUUGUCGAGUGCUCUUUCAGCACCGUGGCACUCAAUCCAAACAUGAAAUUGCAAUAUGCUUCAGCACAGAUGUCUCCAAUACAGCCAUUAAGGUUGCUUGUCCCCACAAAUUAUCCCAACUGUUCCCCAAUACUAUUGGACGUAUUUCCAGUGGAAGUCAGGCUGUCAAUCUCACUGUAACUUUGUCUUGAAGAGGAAAAACAUACCGUCUACGGGUGCAUAAUGGAGCUUUGGAAGACGAACUAUCCGCAGCAGAGCGCCAGCAAAAACCUUAGACACAGUAUUAAGAUGGUUAAAACCACAGAAAACCUGCUCAACGUGAAACUAGCACAAUGCCACAGUGGGCUGGUUCUUGCUG